rnacentral:rRNA from 1 species
UGAGAAGAUAGUGGCGAACGGGUGAGGUAACACGUGGGUAACCUGCCCAUAAGAGGGGGGAUAACAUCCGGAAACGGGUGCUAAUACCGCAUAGUUUCUUGAUCGCAUGAUCGGGAAAGGAAAGACGGCCUUUGUGCUGUCGCUUAUGGAUGGACCCGCGGCGUAUUAGUUAGUUGGUGAGGUAACGGCUCACCAAGACGAUGAUACGUAGCCGACCUGAGAGGGUGAUCGGCCACAUUGGGACUGAGACACGGCCCAAACUCCUACGGGAGGCAGCAGUAGGGAAUCUUCCGCAAUGGACGAAAGUCUGACGGAGCAACGCCGCGUGAGUGAAGAAAAGGGUUUUCGGAUCGUAAAACUCUGUUGUCAGAGAAGAACAAGUUGGAGAGUAACUGCUCCAGCCUUGACGGUAUCUGACCAGAAAGCCACGGCUAACUACGUGCCAGCCGCUGC